GUUCAAAAUUAUUUUCGUUAGUAAAGAAAUCGCAAAAAUAUUUUGAUUGUGACAAAAUGUACUGUCGAGUAUCGUUAGGUCUAACGCGCGGUCUACUGCCCAUAGUUGGCAAUCGUUUGCGUAACUCUGCCCCGGCGAGCCUAACCGUACGUCCGGAAACUACUGGCAGCACCUACAAACUGCCACUGACUGGCCUCACAAUGCGCAUCUACGAGCAACUGCGUCAGCCACAAAAACGUUUCUAAGGGUAACAAGUAAGUGAAGUAAUCUCAAGCUUAAAAUAAAUACGAACAACAUCGUAGCAACGAGACCCAAGGAAUAUAAGCAAUCCGGCAAUCACAACUACCUCCCCACUUUGCUUCACUUUAUGGGAUGUACACAAAAUUUGAAGUCGUCAAAUAUUUCUGUUCUUUUUUGAUUACUUUUACAUUAAUGCAUGUGUGUUUGCACGUAUCGCGCCCCCAAUGUCACAUCACAUUUAACGCCGCCAUUUAUGUAAAAGCAAUGAAAAAGAAACAAUUGGCAUCAUCGCUCAAUGAGGAUGUCAUAAAAUCAAAGAACGAAGACUUUUUGUUCAGCCAAAACCGAUGGGCAAUGUUAAAUAUUUCUUGUUAUAAUAUUCGAAUGCAUUAGGUAAUUAAAGAUCUUCGCACAUCUCUUGAGA